AGCUUACCGGUACCACCCAAAAUAGUAUACAUGUAUUUUACUUCCCGGGCCGACACCUUUUAAUCCAUGACGUAAGGAAAACGCUGACUUUUAAAAACAUUUUUAAAUUAGUCAGCCAAAACAGGAUGACAGAUAUUUGAAUUAUCACGCCUCCGAGCUAUAAAGUUGCUGUGCUUUGCCUAUUCGACGGUUAGUUGUUACAUUCGGAAGACAACGUGUUGUUUUGCUCCAGCUACCAGCUAUGUUGAGAGUUCUUGCCCUCUUGGUGGCGUCCCUCGCCGUGGUUCAGUCGGGUAUCAGCAGCAGGUGUCUUAAUUGUAUCUGUCAGGUAUAGUCCAGCGGCUGUCGUAACAUUGGCUGU